UCUCCGUUGGUGAACCAGCGGAGGGAUCAUUACCGAGUGCAAACUCAUAACCUUUUGUGAACCUAUAUCUUUUGCUUCGGCGGCUCGCUCACGGGCGAGCCCGCCGGCAAUAUCGGUAUCUUUGUUUGAACCCGACGAUACUUCCGAGUGUUCUUAGCGAAUAGUUAAAACUUUUAACAACGGAUCUCUUGGCUCUA
rnacentral:misc_RNA from 1 species